rnacentral:rRNA from 1 species
CAGUCGAACGAUGAAGCUUAGCUUGCUAGGUGGAUUAGUGGCGAACGGGUGAGUAACACGUAGGUAAUCUGCCCUGCACUUUGGGAUAAGCCUGGGAAACUGGGUCUAAUACCGAAUAGGACACACUAUCUUUACGGUGGUGUGUGGAAAGCUUUUGCGGUGUGGGAUGAGCCUGCGGCCUAUCAGCUUGUUGGUGGGGUAAUGGCCUACCAAGGCGUCGACGGGUAGCCGGCCUGAGAGGGUGUACGGCCACAUUGGGACUGAGACACGGCCCAGACUCCUACGGGAGGCAGCAGUGGGGAAUAUUGCACAAUGGGCGAAAGCCUGAUGCAGCGACGCCGCGUGGGGGAUGAAGGCCUUCGGGUUGUAAACUCCUUUCGCUAGGGACGAAGAGUUACAUUGACGGUACCUGGAGAAGAAGCACCGGCUAACUACGUGCCAGCAGCCGCGGUAAUACGUAGGGUGCGAGCGUUGUCCGGAAUUACUGGGCGUAAAGAGCUCGUAGGUGGUUUGUCGCGUCGUCUGUGAAAUCCCGGGGCUUAACUCCGGGCGUGCAGGCGAUACGGGCAUAACUUGAGUGCUGUAGGGGAGACUGGAAUUCCUGGUGUAGCGGUGAAAUGCGCAGAUAUCAGGAGGAACACCAAUGGCGAAGGCAGGUCUCUGGGCAGUAACUGACGCUGAGGAGCGAAAGCAUGGGUAGCGAACAGGAUUAGAUACCCUGGUAGUCCAUGCCGUAAACGGUGGGCGCUAGGUGUAGGGGACUUCCACGUCUUCUGUGCCGCAGCUAACGCAUUAAG